rnacentral:rRNA from 1 species
CCUACGGGGGACAGCAGUGGGGAAUAUUGGGCAAUGGGCGCAAGCCUGACCCAGCAACGCCGCGUGAAGGAAGAAGGCUUUCGGGUUGUAAACUUCUUUUGACAGGGAAGAGUAGAAGACGGUACCUGUCGAAUAAGCCACGGCUAACUACGUGCCAGCAGCCGCGGUAAUACGUAGGUGGCAAGCGUGGUCCGGAUUUACUGGGGGUAAAGGGCGUGUAGACGGGUUGAUAAGUCAGAUGUGAAAUCCUGCGGCUUAACCGCAGAACUGCAUUUGAAACUGAUGAACUUGAGUAUUGGUGAGGCAGACGGAAAUCCUAGGGUAGCGGGGAAAUGCGUAGAUAUUAGGAGGAACACC